rnacentral:rRNA from 1 species
AGAAAGGGACGGCUAACUACGUGCCAGCAGCCGCGGUAAUACGUAGGUCCCGAGCGUUGUCCGGAUUUAUUGGGCGUAAAGCGAGCGCAGGCGGUUUGAUAAGUCUGAAGUUAAAGGCUGUGGCUCAACCAUAGUUCGCUUUGGAAACUGUCAAACUUGAGUGCAGAUGGGGAGAGUGGAAUUCCAUGUGUAGCGGUGAAAUGCGUAGAUAUAUGGAGGAACACCGGUGGCGAAAGCGGCUCUCUGGUCUGUAACUGACGCUGAGGCUCGAAAGCGUGGGGAGCGAACAGGAUUAGAUACCCUGGUAGUCCACGCCGUAAACGAUGAGUGCUAGGUGUUGGAUCCUUUCCGGGAUUCAGUGCCGCAGCUAACGCAUUAAGCACUCCGCCUGGGGAGUACGACCGCAAGGUUGAAACUCAAAGGAAUUGACGGGGGCCCGCACAAGCGGUGGAGCAAGUGGUUUAAUUCGAAGCAACGCGAAGAACCUUACCAGGUCUUGACAUCCCGAUGCUAUUUCUAGAGAUAGAAAGUUACUUCGGUACAUCGGUGACAGGUGGUGCAUGGUUGUCGUCAGCUCGUGUCGUGAGAUGUUGGGUUAAGUCCCGCAACGAGCGCAACCCCUAUUGUUAGUUGCCAUCAUUCAGUUGGGCACUCUAGCGAGACUGCCGGUAAUAAACCGGAGGAAGGUGGGGAUGACGUCAAAUCAUCAUGCCCCUUAUGACCUGGGCUACACACGUGCUACAGUGGUUGGUACAACGAGUUGCGAGUCGGUGACGGCGAGCUAAUCUCUUAAAGCCAAUCUCAGUUCGGAUUGUAGGCUGCAACUCGCCUACAUGAAGUCGGAAUCGCUAGUAAUCGCGGAUCAGCACGCCGCGGUGAAUACGUUCCCGGGCCUUGUACACACCGCCCGUCACACCACGAGAGUUUGUAACACCCGAAGUCGGUGAGGUAACCUUUUGGAGCCAGCCGCCUAAGGUGGGACAGAUGAUUGGGGUGAAGUCGUAACAAGGUAGCCGUAUCGGAAGGUGCGGCUGGAUCACCUCCUUUCUA